AGAGUUUGAUCCUGGCUCAGAUUGAACGCUGGCGGCAUGCCUUACACAUGCAAGUCGAACGGCAGCACGGGGGCAACCCUGGUGGCGAGUGGCGAACGGGUGAGUAAUACAUCGGAACGUGUCCUGUAGUGGGGGAUAGCCCGGCGAAAGCCGGAUUAAUACCGCAUACGAUCUAGGGAUGAAAGCGGGGGACCUUCGGGCCUCGCGCUAUAGGGGCGGCCGAUGGCGGAUUAGCUAGUUGGUGGGGUAAAGGCCUACCAAGGCGACGAUCCGUAGCUGGUCUGAGAGGACGACCAGCCACACUGGGACUGAGACACGGCCCAGACUCCUACGGGAGGCAGCAGUGGGGAAUUUUGGACAAUGGGCGAAAGCCUGAUCCAGCAAUGCCGCGUGUGUGAAGAAGGCCUUCGGGUUGUAAAGCACUUUUGUCCGGAAAGAAAACGUUCCUACUAAUACUGGGGGCGGAUGACGGUACCGGAAGAAUAAGCACCGGCUAACUACGUGCCAGCAGCCGCGGUAAUACGUAGGGUGCAAGCGUUAAUCGGAAUUACUGGGCGUAAAGCGUGCGCAGGCGGUUUGUUAAGACGGAUGUGAAAUCCCCGGGCUCAACCUGGGAACUGCAUUCGUGACUGGCAGGCUAGAGUAUGGCAGAGGGGGGUGGAAUUCCACGUAGCAGUGAAAUGCGUAGAGAUGUGGAGGAACACCGAUGGCGAAGGCAGCCCCCUGGGCCAAUACUGACGCUCAUGCACGAAAGCGUGGGGAGCAAACAGGAUUAGAUACCCUAGUAGUCC
rnacentral:rRNA from 1 species